GAGGCGCGUGUUCGACUGGUGUGAACCAUGGACUUCAAAUCCAUUGUGGAGCGGUGAUCCCGUUCCGGGCGGGUUCGAUUCCCGUGCGCCUCC
rnacentral:tRNA from 1 species